rnacentral:misc_RNA from 1 species
AGCGCAAAUUGCGCUUUCGGGAUAUUCCUGGAAGCACGCCUCUUUGAGUAUCGGUUCAAUACAAUCUCAGCGGCUUAUUGAUUUCAACGUCAAUAUAGCGUCGGUUGGAGAAUGAGAGUCUAGACUACUCGUUAGUCAAGUCUCUUUAAAACUAUUGAGCUUGAUUCGCCAGAGACCUCCAAUCUUAUAGAUUGGAUAGCUACUUCAUUCUUGAGGUUGAGCUUCUUAUGGUGACGUGGAUAAUAUCAUCUUUACGAUGUUCUUGAAACGUCUAUGCUGUAAUGUUGUUCCUUCAGUUAAUAGAAUGUUGAAGCGAAAUCUUUGGCUUGAGUCGAGUGUUGGGAAUUAACGAACUCAUACCGAAUUAGAUCUCAAAUGAAGCGAGAAGACCCCCUGAAUUUAA